rnacentral:rRNA from 1 species
CCUACGGGAGGCAGCAGUGGGGGAUAUUGCACAAUGGGGGAAACCCUGAUGCAGCGACGCCGCGUGUGGGAAGACGGUCCUAUGGAUUGUAAACCACUGUCCCCAGGGACGAAGAUGACGGUACCUGGGGAGGAAGCUCCGGCUAACUACGUGCCAGCAGCCGCGGUAAUACGCAGGGAGCGAGCGUUGUCCGGAAUUACGGGGUGUAAAGGGAGCGUAGGCGGGGAUGCAAGUUGGGUGUCAAAACUACCGGCUCAACUGGUAGUCGCACUCAGAACUGCAGCUCUUGAGUGAAGUAGAGGCAGGCGGAAUGCCUAGUGGAGCGGGGAAAGGCGUAGAUAUUAGGAGGAACACCAGUGGCGAAGGCGGCCUGCUGGGCUUUUACUGACGCUGAGGCUCGAAAGUGUGGGGAGCAAACAGGAUUAGAUACACUUGUAGUC